UACAGAGGUCUCAAGCGUUGUUCGGAUUCAUUGGGCGUAAAGGGUGCGUAGGUGGCGGGGUUAGUCAGGUGUGAAAUCUCGGAGCUCAACUCCGAAACUGCACUUGAUACUGCCUUGCUAGAGUACUGGAGAGGAGAUUGGAAUUUACGGUGUAGCAGUGAAAUGCGUAGAUAUCAGGAGGAACACCGGUGGCGAAGGCGGAUCUCUGGGCCAUUACUGACGCUGAGGAGCGAAAGCGUGGGGAGCGAACAGG
rnacentral:rRNA from 1 species